GCCGGGCACGGUGGUACAUGCCUGUAAUCCCAGCAACUUGGGAGGCUGAGACAAGAGAAUCAAGAGUUCAAAGCUAGCCUCAGCAAUGGUGAGGUGCUAAGCAACUCAGUGAGACCCUGCCUCUA
rnacentral:sRNA from 1 species